rnacentral:lncRNA from 1 species
AGUUGAGUUUCAUUUCACCAAAUAAAACUAAUUCUUGUGUCGACGACCGGAAAAAACUCUCAUCAGAUUUCACGAGGAGACAAAAGUUGUUAUCAUAUCAGGCAUCUCAUUCUCGAUGGUGAGAUGGCUAAAUUGGUGGGAUUGGCUUUCGCAUCGUCGAAAGGCCAACUACAGCUGGUGGAAUAAACAAACACUCCCAGAAAGCCAAGUGGUGGAGAAUUGGCUUAGAUUAGACUAGUGAAGAAGUUUGGUGCGUAGCACGUGCAGCCUCCAAUACUUGAUGCUGCCAACCGCACUUUUGAGGGCUGCUUCUUGAGGAGUUGUUGUUGUGGCUGAAAAUAUCCUUCUACUCUGAGAAUCCUCUAACCUUUGUGCUUGGAGAAAGAAGGAUCAGCCCUGCACUGCGAUGUCGUCGUGGAUACUAGCAGGCUUGGGAUCGUUCGGAUCGUCCCUCAUCGGGAGCGUGAUAGGUAAGAUCACCGACUAUGUGAUCGAAAGAGUUUUGGAGGAUCCUGGAGUCGCUGACCUCCACAAGCUGAAGGACACUCUUU